rnacentral:rRNA from 1 species
UACGGAGGGCGCAAGCGUUGUUCGGAAUUACUGGGCGUAAAGCGCGUGUAGGCGGCUAGGUAAGUCUGAUGUGAAAGCCCGGGGCUCAACCCCGGAAGUGCAUCGGAUACUGUCUGGCUCGAGGGCGAGAGAGGAAAGUGGAAUUUCUGGUGUAGGGGUGAAAUCCGUAGAUAUCAGGAGGAACAUCAGUGGCGAAGGCGGCUUUCUGGCUCGUUACUGACGCUGAGACGCGAAAGCGUGGGGAGCAAACAGG